GCCUGGGUGGCUCAGUCGGUUGAGCGUCCGACUUCGGCUCGGGUCACGAUCUCGCGGUCCGUGGGUUCGAGCCCCGCGUCAGGCU
rnacentral:tRNA from 1 species